rnacentral:lncRNA from 1 species
AUGGGGGAGAGGGGGAGAGACCGGGAAUGGGGACUGCCCUCCCAUCUACCAUACCCAGAUACUCUUCCCUCUGCACCCCCCCACAAGAUACAUUACCUGCCAGGGCCUCCCACCCGCCCCGAUGCUCGGUCGUCUCCUCUUCCUCCGCCGCUGCCGCCGCCGCCGCCGCCGCCGCGCUCCCUCUCGCAGCCGCAUCCCCAGAUGUGCGCCAGAUGUGCGGGUCACGCUCCCUGGUUCGCACAAAGAGGUCGCCCCCAUCCGGAAAAGGAAGCUGAAGAAAGAGGGAGGAGUAAUUUUAUGCCUUACCCAGAAGAGUGGAAAACCUACAAGGGAAGUUGCAGUGCAAGGUAUGAGGCCCCUCAACAACUAAAGCAGUGGCAAGAAUGGUGGAGGAAAGCCCUAAAAGUAAACUACUUCAUCAUUUUACCUUCUAGGUAAGAAAAUGAGACUGGAGCAGAGAAAACAUUUGGUUAGCUUCCCAGGGCACUGCUUCCAGACAUCUAGACAAGGAUAACACGGUAGAGGUAUGCUUGAAACAAUAAUGGGCUCUAUAUGUGGCAACAUGAAGAGGUUUUUGCAUGCUGUUCCCAGAAAUCACUAUCUGGAAUUUGGAAACCAUUCAUAGGUGUGUAGGCUGGGAUUUGCACAGAACUGAUUUAUUAUUGACUUCUUACAAAGCAAAAGAAUAUAUUGCUUAAUUUGAAAAAUAAAACAUAUUCUGCUUUUGUUGUUAAGCA